AUUUGUGAGAUGUUUCUCUUUCUCUAUGUUGGCAUGGAUGAUAUAUAGAGUAGUGGAAGAUUGUUAGUGAAACACAUUCAGGUAUGCUAUCUAUCUGAUUCUUUCCAUGUGUGUAGUAACAUAUUCGUUGUUCAAAUCCAGAAAUUGUAACACAUUUUCUAUACUACUAUAUGCAGCCCAAUGAAAUGUAUCGCCUUGAGCUCCAUUAUUUAGGCCAUAUCUCAUGAGAGAUGCUGUGUCAAUUGCAUUGGCAUCCAAUAAGGUAAAAGCUCUGAGUUAUAUUAGGAGGCCUACCCAUCCGUCUGAAGACUGCUCUUAAUAUAUUCUUCUCUUUCUCAUGUUGUAACAUUUAGAU
rnacentral:lncRNA from 1 species